UGAGGAAUAUUGGACAAUGGACGAAAGUCUGAUCCAGCUAUGCCGCGUGCAGGAUGACGGCCCUAUGGGUUGUAAACUGCUUUUAUACAGGAAGAAAAACUCCGACGUGUCGGAACUUGACGGUACUGUAAGAAUAAGGAUCGGCUAACUCCGUGCCAGCAGCCGCGGUAAUACGGAGGAUCCAAGCGUUAUCCGGAAUCAUUGGGUUUAAAGGGUCCGUAGGCGGUUUUUUAAGUCAGAGGUGAAAUCCUGCAGCUCAACUGUAGAAUUGCCUUUGAUACUGAAAGACUUGAGUUAUUGUGAAGUGGUUAGAAUGUGUGGUGUAGCGGUGAAAUGCAUAGAUAUCACACAGAAUACCAAUUGCGAAGGCAGAUCACUAACAAUAUACUGACGCUCAGGGACGAAAGCGUGGGUAGCGAACAGG
rnacentral:rRNA from 1 species